rnacentral:rRNA from 1 species
UACGUAGGGGGCAAGCGUUGUUCGGAAUUACUGGGCGUAAAGGGCGCGUAGGCGGCACAGCAAGUCGGGAGUGAAAGCCCGGGGCUCAACCCCGGAACUGCUUUCGAAACUGCUGAGCUAGAGUACAGAAGGGGCAACCGGAAUUCCCAGUGUAGCGGUGAAAUGCGUAGAUAUUGGGAAGAACACCUGAGGCGAAGGCGGGUUGCUGGGCUGAUACUGACGCUGAGGCGCGAAAGCCAGGGGAGCAAACGGGG